rnacentral:rRNA from 1 species
GCAGCCGCGGUAAUACGUAGGGGGCAAGCGUUAUCCGGAUUUACUGGGUGUAAAGGGAGCGCAGACGGCAGCGCAAGUCUGAUGUGAAAUCCCGGGGCUCAACCCCGGAACUGCAUUGGAAACUGCGCAGCUCGAGUAUCGGAGAGGUAAGCGGAAUUCCUAGUGUAGCGGUGAAAUGCGUAGAUAUUAGGAGGAACACCGGCGGCGAAGGCGGCUUACUGGACGAAGACUGACGUUGAGGCUCGAAAGCGUGGGGAGCAAACAGGAUUAGAUACCCC